GGUGCAGCAGGAGACCGUUCCUAAGAAGUUUAUGAUGCCGCCUAUGGCCACAUAUGACGGAGCUGGGAACCCCCGGGAGCACGUCUUGAACUAUAAGACUUUCAUGGAGCUGCAAACUCUUUCAGAUGCCUUGAUGUGUAAGGUAUUCCCUACGACGCUCUCAGGGCCAGCACGGGCGUGGUUCAACAGCCUUGAAGCCGGAAGUAUUAGCAGUUUUGGAGAUCUGGCCACUCGCUUCAUCAGCCG
rnacentral:lncRNA from 1 species